UACGGACUAAAAUCCGUUGGCUUUUUAGACCAUGAGGGUUCAAGUCCCUCUACCCCCA
rnacentral:tRNA from 1 species